CUUUUCAAUUGGGAUAUUUAUAGCUAUUUGUUCUUCAAAUGAGAGUAGUAUCAAUGUUGCUAAAUGGGCAUCUUUGUUCUUGGUGUCCUGUACUUUUGUGGGGAAUCACAGUAUUCCCUACACCAAUUGUUUGCUAUGUGUUGCUUCUUAGCCUCCCAGUAAACAUGAAUAUGUAAGAUGUGAUUAUCCCCAGUUUUUACAAGUGGUAAGCUUUUUACAGGUGAUGAGAGUUCACCUUUAGUGAAGCGAUGAAAUUGAGAUUUAUUUCUCAAGUUUGAUCCCAAAAAAGCCUCAUUGUCUUUAUUGUAUCCUAGUAAGUCAGCUGAAGGAUUCAGACCCUUGAUUGAGUUUUAUAGGUAGCUUGAAGCCACUAUAUUCUUGGAAUGGGAAGACCUAAGUGAAAAAUAACAAUUCCGAAAGAAGAAACUUUCUACAAAGUAUUUACUUACUUCCUCUCUAUAAACCUUCUCUGUAUUUUUGGAAGAUGAGGAGUUGGUCAAAAGUAUUGCUGAUGGGAAGGAAAUGGAGAAACUGGAGGUGGAAAAAGGAACAACGGAAGUGGUGUUAGUAAAAAAGAGGAGUUUUGCAAUAAACAAGAGUCUUAUAUAAAAGCAUUUUACUGGUAGAACUUACAAUAUAGGAAGUAGAGACAGAAAAAUGAAUAGAAAUAGUGUAGUAUAUAAAAUGUUACAAUGUAAGUAUAAAAGCUACCUGGGUGCUGUGGCACACACCUGUAAUUGUGGCAACCUGGGAGGCUGGGACAGGAAGACUAUAAGUUCAAAGCCAGCCUGGGCAACUUAGAUCCUGUGUCAAAAUUUAAAAAAGGACUUGGGAUGCAGAGCUCAGUUAGCAUGUGCAAGCCCCUGAAUUCAAAUCCCAGUACAAACAAAACACAAAAACAUCAGGAUAAAAAAAAGAGAAAACUUUCUCUAACCAGAAGAGUUAGGGAUGGUUUCACCAAAGUUGGCAGUGGAGUUUGAUUUUAGAGGCAGGAUAUUCUAAAUGGAAGAGGGAUAUAGGAGAAGUUUAAAAAGAAAUUAAUAACUUAAGAUUACAAAUAAAGUAGGAAAUGUUUCUGUAAUCAUCCUUUGCUAGAAACUUUUAGGCUUGUGAGGCUACUAAUGAUGGUGGUGAUGAGGAUGAAGUACAGCUGACAAUAAUAUGUUGAAAAUGAAACUCAUGAAGCUCAGAUUUAGUUCUGUAUGGGAGAUAGAUUCAGUGUAUUAAAUUAUAGAAUCAAAUGUAACCUUUAAAACAAGAGUUACACAGCUAGUUAGUAUGCUGUCAGGAGAGGAUUAUC
rnacentral:lncRNA from 1 species